UAAGAGAUAUGGACAGUGGAGACGGGUAAAUGGCUUUGCCGGGAUGGGCUCAGAUGCCCUGGAGGCCGUUAGAGUGAAAAGGCUCCCUCCUUGACCUCAUUACCCUUAACAAGCUGGCCAGAAUCCCUGCUAAAAUGUCAGGACACACGCCCCAAGAUAACUCCCAGGAAAUAGCCUGUGUAUUAGAAAACUGUCACACUCCCCGGACUGACUUCUCUAGAGACAGAGGCGGUUCAGAACCAGGGGUACAGACAGUGACCCUGGCCAACAGCAGUGUCCCCUGAUGAAAAUUAAUCUCUGAGCACUCCCCUCUGCUGGGAUGGUGGUGGAAUUAGGCUAAACUUUCUGGAAGGCACAAAGGAAACACCCAUCCAAAGAGAUGCGCCUACCCUUUGUACUAAUUAUCUUUCGCGGCAUAAUGGAUCAUGCCCAAACUUAACGGCUUAAAACACACACACUUCAGCUCACAGCUGCUGUGGGUCAAGAGUCUAGCCUUGGCUGAGAUGUAUGCGUCUGUCUCAAGGCCCCUCAUAAGGCUGCAAUGGAGGUGUCAGCCAAGGCCACCGUCUCAUCUGAAGGCUCAAGUGGGAGAGAAUUGUCUUCCAAGAAGCCUGGUGGUCUCUCUCACACCUGCUCCUUGGCCCUCAGCAGGUGUUGUCGCCCCGCCUGCCAACGAGAAACCUGAGCUCCGGGAAAAGCAAUGAGGCCGCCCAGUCACUGAGGGAGGCUCGGGGCUGGGACUCUACCUCAUCCGUAUAUCCACGAAGCCUCUUGAUGUUUGUUCCAGAGGGAGAGGAGUGAAGGAGAAACAUGUCACCUUGAGUUUGAAAGCUGCAGGUCUGGUCUGUUAAUGACACAUAAUGACUCAAAAGCAAGCCCUGGGGUGGGGGGAGUUCCCAACGUGGCUCAGCAGGAACGAAUCUGACUAGCAUCCAUGAGGACGCAGGUUCGAUCCCUGGCCUCGCUCAGUGGGUUAAGGAUCCAGCAUUUCUGUGAGCUGUGGUGCAGGUCACAGAUGCUGUUCAGAUCUGUUGUUGUUGUGGCUGUGGCGUAGGCCAACAGCUACAGCUCUGAGUCGACCCCUAGCCUGGAAACCUCAGGUGCAGCUCUAAAAAGACAAAAAAAGCAGGCCUGGGGGACAAAAAAUCCUCACUGUGUUUCCAGGGACUGGGAGAAUCAAGAAACAAGUCUGACCAGUAAGGCGCAGACCCCAGGGGGGGCUGUGGGGGCUCAGGCCUAUGGACCUGGAUUCUUAGAGACAGGAGACUGAAAGUCUCCUCCACCAGGUGUGGCUCUCGGGAUCCAGAGCAUCCUGGGUAUGCCCUGGGCCACUUGCCUGGCUACUCCAGCCUUACCCCUGUCCUGGGAACUGUUUUCAGACCUCUGGGCCCACAGCCCCAGGUGAGGGGCCCACGGCCUGGCUGAAGCAGAGGCCCCAUCCCUCCCACCGGCAGCCCACAAGCAGGUGGGUGCUGCAGGGCCUCUGCUCAGAAAGUUCCAGGACAAUGGAAAGCGCCUGACAUUCAGCAAGACAGAGGAGGGUCAGCCACCCCCGGUCCCAACCUUAGAGGUCAUUACCUCCACGUGGGACCUCCAUCCUGGCUUCCCAGCAUGCACUGGGCUCAGGAAAGCAGCCCGGCUUCGCGGGCAGGGGAAGGAGGUGGGAGGGAAGGAGAAAGAAGCAGAUGUAGGCACAGGCAGAGUGAGGCGUUUGGCUCACUUUAUCCCACAACCCUGGGAAGCAGGCAUUAAGGUUCUCUCCAUUUUCCAGAAGAGCAGACCCUGAGUCUGAGACAGGAAGAUGCUUGCUGGUGGUCACAUGGCCAGUGGGAACUGGGUUUAGACCCCCUCAAACACAUCACCUGCAGCUCAGUCCAAGAGAGCAGCCACAUUCGCUCCGAGAUGAUCUUCCAGGAAACUGAGCCCACCCUGACCCUGAAAUAAGCUUCCCUGCCCUCACCUGCUGGUCCAAGGGCCCCACAAGCCCUGCUUUUCCACUCCUGUUUCCUGUCCAGGAGCCCACCAGGCCCACCAGGCUCACCAGGCCAGGCUAACUGUCCCCAAGGUGAUUCACCACAGCCACCCGUCCAAAGACUCACCCACAGGGUGCCAGGCGCAGAGAAAAGCCUUGGCAAUAGCUUCAAGCAACGCAUGGAUGAGCCCAUUUCACAGCUGAGAAAAUGAAGCUAGAGCCAGGGUUCCGCUGUGCUGCUCCUGCAGCAUCCCGGACCCUCAGCCGCCCCGUCACCAGGGCUUCCCUCCAACCCCCAUAUGCUCUCCCACCUCAAGAUUUUGAAAGGCAAGCAGUUCACUUUUUAGGAGACAGUUGGCUACCAACUGCAAUAAUUUUGCAUCUCUGUGGAUUUAGUUUGAGCAGCUCAAGAGGCAUGCCAACAGCACAGACCUGACAAAGAACAAAAGGCCCCUUUAUAGACUCUCAUGACACCCCCUUCAAAAAUGCCAAAAUACCACCAAAGGCCCCAGGGUCGCUCCAAGCCAGCACUUGGGCUCAGAGCUUAAGGUGACAAUCUGCAGGGAAAAAGUCCAACUGGCUUCACUGCAGGAAGCAGAGAUGUGCAAAGCUGCCUGGUUCCUGCCUUGUCCCGCCUUCUCACUUCACUGGUGGGGCAGCUGAGCCCUGGAGCAUCCAACGUCACACAGCUAGUUAGGAUGCGGGGUCCCCAUCCUCUGACGAAGGUGACCAGGACUCGGUGCUGGGAGGGUCCGACUCCCCGGGCCCCGGGCCCUGCUCAACCAGUAACGGCUCUGCACUCAGGGCAGCUUCUCCCUCUCUCUGCCUCCUCUCUCCCCACCCCAGAAAAUUGUGCAGGUUAAACUGGAUGUUGCUAUAGCCUGUAGCCUCGGCAUGCCACGAUUCUCCUCCAUUCGCAAAGGUUGUUGGCUCUGAACUAGAUCGGGGUUAAUCAAUUAUCGACAAUGCUCGACCCUCCAGACUCUGUCUCCCUCGUCCGCCUCCCACCUGCCUGUCAUCAUCUGAAGUUACCACUUGCUGAAUUACCAAGGAGAAGGCCAGCAGGUCAAGAGAGAGGAAAUGGCAAAAGCCAAUCUUGAGUAUUUGCGCUCUGAAUAAAAUUUCAUCCCCUUCCCACUGGCAGAUUUUGUCAUUUUUAAUUUAAGCCCAGUGCACCCAGGCACGUAGACAGGAGCACGUCUGCCCCCAGCUAGAGAAUACCAGGGGCCCUGGCACCGGGAGCUCCCAGGAGGGUGGAGUGCCCUCCAGAGGCCAUGAGGGAGGGCACAGCGCAAGGCUGGCUCCUGCCCACCCUCUGUGAUGCCUGGGCACCCAUCAUGGGAGGGAGUUUGGGGAAAUUGUAUUUAAUAAUAGCAACAACAGUAGCAGCGCUCAUUUCUUGAGCACUGCAUGUGCCUGAUACAUACCGUCUUGCUUAGUAUCCUGCAAGGUAGACGCUCUGGUUAUGUCCAUUGUACAGAUGAACAAACUGAGGCCCAGCAAGGGUUAGUAACAUGCCAAGACCACAUAGCCCGUCGAGAGCAGAGUGGGCUUUAAACCUGCUCUGUCUGAUUCUGAUGUGUGUGCCCCUGAGCCAAGGUCCCCGGCCUUUCAGGAGAGGAGCACGAUUAAGAACAAUGUGUGGAGUUCCCAUUGUGGCUCAGUGGUUAACAAACCCAACUAGCAUCCAGGAGGACGUGGGUUCCAUCCCUGACCUCGCUCAGUGGGUUGAGGAUCCAGCAUUGCUGUGAGCUAUGGGGUAGAUCGCAGACACAGCUCAGAUCCCGCCUUGCUAGGGCUGGGGCUCAGACUGGCGGCUACAGCUCCAAUUGGACCCCUAGCCUCUGAACCUCCAUAUGCAGCAGGUGCGGCCCUAAAAAGAUAGAUAGAUAGAUAGAUAGAUAGAUAGAUAGAUAGAUAGAUAGAUAGAGAUAGAUAAACGAUGUGAUAUAUAAAAAAUAAAAUCAAUAAUGUGAGGAGUUCCCAUCAUGGCUCAGUGGUUAAUGAAUCUGACUAAGAACCAUGAGGUUGCAGGUUCAAUCCCUGUCCUCGCUCAGUGGGUUAAGGAUCCGGCGUUGCUGUGAGCUGUGGUGUAGGUCACAGACAUGGCUCAGAUUCUGCAUUGCUGUGGCUGUGGCUGUGGCUGGCGGCUACAGCUUCGAUUAGACCCCUAGCCUGGGAAUCUCCACAUGCCAUGGGAGCGGCCCAAGAAAUGGCAAAAAGACUAAAUAAAUAAAUAAAUAAAGUGGUAUUUGAAAAAAAAGAAAAUCUCUGGGUUCUGGGCCCCUGUGAAAAACCAACCCAUGUGUUCCUUCGGCAAGCAGGACAGCUGGCUCAUGGACCAGGUAUGAAGGGAUACCAAGCAAAAGCUUCAGUUGAUGGUGACACAGUUCUGGAAGCAGAGGUCCAGGAUUUCAGAAAUGUCCACUGGAUGGUGAAGCCAUGGUGACACAUGGCGUCCAGCACUUGCUGUGAAAUCUUUCA
rnacentral:lncRNA from 1 species